GACCCUUAUUGCACUGCCAACAACUAUGGCCUGCCCUGCCGAAGGACCCUAUCAUGCAGAAUAGGUGGAUGGAGUUCGAUGGUUUCCAGUGGUGACAAUGUGUACAGUUGGGUGCCAGACUGAUGCCCUUGGUUUGAACGGAUCCUGGGACCUACAAGAAGGAACAAAGCUUGUCGGGCAAGAAUAAAAGUGUGUAAUGCGACAGAAGUACCCUUGUGACACUUCCUCCGUUGUUGCCAGAGUCUCCCUCGACUCCUAUGAAAAGGAUACGCCAUCAGGGCUCUGGUAGUGACCCGAGUUACUGCCCUGAUGACACAGAUGGCUUCAUCAACAACGAUAGGCCCUCCCAAUCAACAUCACCUCAUAAUAUUGCCUGCUGCAGUUGUGGAGACGUCCAGUUUGCAUCAGAACAUGUAGCAUAGAGAAGACCAGCAAGGGGGCCCUCAUCGGCAUCAUGCAGACAUGCCCUCGUUGUGAGCAUUCCUAUGAAUGGAACGGUCAGCCACAUGUUGGCAAGUAUAUGGCCAGCAACCUGCACCUGUCAACAGCAACAGCUUUCACAGGCUCAUCAUUUGUACAAAUACAGAAGGAGCUGAUCUACGCUGCUAUGGCCAUCAAUGGGGCUUGGGUAAAGAUCUCACCUCCAGCUUCACCUCUUGCCUGCUCACCAACUGUCGUCGAUGGGGAGACCAGAAUUGGAAACAUGUAUGGCGCCAGCACAUGGAGACUUGC